rnacentral:rRNA from 1 species
CAGCCGCCGCGGUAAUACGUAUGUCACGAGCGUUAUCCGGAUUUAUUGGGCGUAAAGCGCGUCUAGGUGGUUAUAUAGGUCUGAUGUGAAAAUGCAGGGCUCAACUCUGUAUUGCGUUGGAAACUGUAUAACUAGAGUACUGGAGAGGUAAGCGGAACUACAAGUGUAGAGGUGAAAUUCGUAGAUAUUUGUAGGAAUGCCGAUGGGGAAGCCAGCUUACUGGACAGAUACUGACGCUGAAGCGCGAAAGCGUGGGUAGCAAACAGGAUUAGAUACCCCCGUAGUCCCUGUCUCUUAUACA